GGAUGUGAGGGCAAGCUGGCUGUUACCUGAUUGAUCACAAGAAUUGAUACAGCUGAUUUGGCUGGCCAGAUGGAUGACCCCUUCCUUCCUUACCAAACUGUGUCCCUCCCAAAACUGUGCUCAGAAAAAAAGCAUGGCUUUUCCCCCAUAGAGGAGGACAGUUUUGGGUCAAGAGUAUAUGAGUAACAGGGCUCCCCUGCUAGAACCUACCAACAAGUUCUCAAUACCUAAAUACGUAGAGAAGCAUACCAUGACCACAAAUUGGAAAGCUCAAUAUUGU
rnacentral:snRNA from 1 species